UUGCUUUGCAUAUGAUAUCUUGCAGUAAUUUAGUAAUACCUUUCGAACACAUGAUUUUCAGUCUUUCAUGAGUUCGUCAGGUAUUAUCUAGUUAUUGUAAACAUUCAACUCGCUGGCGGAU
rnacentral:pre_miRNA from 1 species